rnacentral:rRNA from 1 species
CCUACGGGAGGCAGCAGUGAGGAAUAUUGGUCAAUGGGCGUAAGCCUGAACCAGCCACGUCGCGUGAGGGAUGAAGGUUCUAUGGAUCUUAAACCUCUUUUAUACGGGAAUAAAGUGCGGGACGUGUCCCGUUUUGUAUGUACAUUAUGAAUCAGGCUCGGCUAACUCCGUGCCAGCAGCCGCGGUAAUACGGAGGAUCCGGGCGUUAGCCGGAUUUAGUGGGUGUAAAGGGUGCGUAGGCGGCCGUGUAAGUUAGCGGUGAAAGUCUGUGGCUCAACCAUGGAAUUGCCGUUGAAACUGGGAGGCUUGAGUAUGUGGGAGGUAGGCGGAAUGCGUGGUGUAGCGGUGAAAUGCUUAGAUAUUACGCAGAACCCCGAUUGCGAAGGCAGCCUGCUAAGCCAUGACUGACGCUGAUGCACGAAAGCGUGGGGAUCAAACAGGAUUAGAUACCCGAGUAGUC